rnacentral:rRNA from 1 species
CCUACGGGAGGCAGCAGUAGGGAAUAUUGCUCAAUGGGGGAAACCCUGAAGCAGCAACGCCGCGUGGAGGAUGAAGUUUUUCGGAUUGUAAACUCCUUUUGUUAGAGAAGAUAAUGACUGUAUCUAACGAAUAAGCACCGGCUAACUCCGUGCCAGCAGCCGCGGUAAUACGGAGGGGGCAAGCGUUACUAGGAAUCACUGGGCGUAAAGAGCGCGUAGGCGGGAUAGCAAGUCAGAUGUGAAAUCCUAUGGCUUAACCAUAGAACUGCAUUUGAAACUGUUAUUCUAGAGUAUGGGAGAGGUAGGUGGAAUUCUUGGUGUAGUGGUAAAAUCCGUAGAGAUUAAGAGGAAUACUAGUGGCGAAGGCGACCUGCUGGAACAUAACUGACGCUGAUGCGCGAAAGCGUGGGGAGCAAACAGGAUUAGAUACCCGAGUAGUC